UGGGGUUUGGCUCAGUGGUAGAGCAACUUGCCUGGCACGUGGGAGGCGCUGGGUUUGAUCCUCAGCACCACAU
rnacentral:tRNA from 1 species